AGCCAAGUGGUAAGGUCGGGGUCUGCAAAACCUCUAUUCGCGGGUUCGAUUCCCGCC
rnacentral:tRNA from 1 species